CGACAGUUUCUAAAGUCGCCCGUCGUCUGAAGAAUAGUCACGCAACAGCUAAUGCUGUCGACAGGCUGCAGGCAUGCUGCCGACAUGCUGCGCCCCAUGCUGCCGAGCCCUUCACACGACGGUUCCCUACAAUUGAUCUUCAUCAGACGGCGCCUCGAUAGACGACGCUUUACCUCCAUAUCAGACGACGGUUUUUAGCCGUCGUCUGAUUCAAUUUUUGUAGUAGUGAAUUGCGGACAUGCAAUGGGACGUUAUUCAUCCACGAUAGUGCG
rnacentral:lncRNA from 1 species